UGGGGAAUAUUGCACAAUGGGGGAAACCCUGAUGCAGCGACGCCGCGUGAGCGAUGAAGGCUUUCGAGUCGUAAAGCUCUGUCCUAUGGGAAGAUAAUGACGGUACCGUAGAAGAAAGCCCCGGCUAAUUACGUGCCAGCAGCCGCGGUAAUACGUAAGGGGCGAGCGUUGUCUGGAAUUAUUGGGCGUAAAGAGUGCGUAGGCGGCAAAUUAAGUCAGAUGUGAAAACUAAGGGCUCAACCCAUAGAUUGCAUCUGAAACUGAUAUGCUUGAGUCAAGGAGAGGAAAGUGGAAUUCCUAGUGUAGCGGUGGAAUGCGUAGAUAUUAGGAGGAAUACCGGUGGCGAAGGCGACUUUCUGGACUUGAACUGACGCUGAGGCACGAAAGCGUGGGGAGCAAACAGG
rnacentral:rRNA from 1 species